AGAAGCCGACUACCCUGAAGCCACAGUGAUGUUUGGAGGCCCAGGCUGGCCACGGGGGGUGACUCAGAGAAGAGGCCUGCUGUCCGCGGGGCGGGACAGGAGAAAGUGCCAGAGAGCAAUGAGUUUCCAGCACAGAGGAACUGAGAGAGUGAAUCUGUCCAGCUCGCCUUCCUUGUUAUGUUAAUUAUCAAUGAACCUGUGUAAAGUGGAAGCCAUACUAUCCAUUCAGUCAGAUUGAGUGAGCGAUGGAUACAGUCCUUAAGAAAGGUACCUGGAUGGACCACGUUUUCUUUCAUUUACUCGAGACGCGCCAGACGGUUCCUGCCGUGUCAUGGUCCUUUCUUCUCUGUGGCCACAUCAGGACCCACAUUCAUGAUCCAACAGUGCUCCCAAAUCUCUCUGACUCAGAAAGAAAAGAAGGAGGAGGAGGAGGAGGAGGAGGAGGAGGACGACGACGACGACGACGACAAAGAAAAAGUGAUUGUCCUGCUCCCAGCCCAGCCAAUGACCAGUCAUUGAAAUGUGGGCAGAUACAGACCGGCUGUUGGGUCUCAAGGUUGCACUUGCUGAGGUGGGUGUGUGGGCUCCCCUCACCAGCACUCACUGGCUCUCUCCCUGUGGCGCCAGUAGGUGUGGGUGAUCACCGCUGGACCCCUGAUUCCAUGAGGGGCUGCAAAACAACCAUCUUCUCACCCCCUCUGUCGUCCCUUCUGGUGCCUUCUUGGAAUAUACUCAUCAAGAAGAGCUUCCCCUCAGUUAUUCUGUUGGAGAGUUUGUGUAGGAAAAGCAGGGCAGAUGCUUGGUCCUUUGCAAAAUAAUGAGUUAAUUAACUGGCGUUCUCCAAAGCCUGCCAAUGGGCCCUAAAAAUUUAUUGUAAGCAUGUAGAAGUAAGUAUAUUGUAGACUCAAAUCCUUUGCACUUGUUCCCUUGUUGAUAUUCAGGGUGUCUCACCUGUGAAUGAGGAGCCUCUUUUGGUUCCUCUUGAUCCUUCCCAGUGGACUCUGAUGGUGUCUGCAUUUCUGGACCUCACACACUGUCCCAGGUCACCUGCAAAUGUUCUGCUCCUGUGCUGGAAGCAACGGUUUCUCUGAGCAACCCUCGGUGCUUGUAGGGGGAAAUGGCACCCAGAGAUCAGUGGACUCUUGGGAUGCUUAGAGCUACUGAGUGUCCUUUGGGUUGCAGGGAUUGGGGUGGGCAGAGCUAGUCAUUUUUUAUUUUACUAUUUUAAGGUAAAACACAUCAUGAACUCAUUCUGCUACUUCAAUUUAAAUUCAGGACAAAUUCAGAUUUUGCUCUUGGGUUUCUAUUCAUUAUGAUUAUAUUUGAAUAUUUACAUUGAUAUUCAAAAGUGAGCUAGGUCUAUAGCUUGCUCUUUGAUUUGGUGUCAUCUUUAUUAGGUUUAGAAAUUAAUAUUAUACUUGCUUAAUGGAAAGACUUUGGAAGUUUUUCUUCCGUUUGGGUGUCAGGAAUAAUUUAGGAAGCAGUGAGACUUUCUGCCCUUUAAAGGUUGGAUAGAAUUUCCCAUAAAACCAUCUAGGCCGAAUGCUUUUUGAAAUGAAUACUUUAUUACUACUAUUUUUUUCUAUGGUAAUCCACUUGAUCAGGCUUUCUAGUUUUAUGGGGUCAAUUUUGGUAUAUCGUACUUUUCCAGAAAAUUAUUUAUCUCAUAUACAAACGUUUCUUUUUUUUGGUACCGGGGAUCGAACUCAGGACCUUGUGCUUGCGAGGCAGGCGUCAGAACCACUGAGUUAAAUCCCUGGCUUAUCUCACCUAUAUUUUAAAAUAUUUUUGCAUGGUAAUAGAAUGUGUGCUUCGGCUCUCAUUUUUCUUAAUUAGAAUAGUAAGUUGUCUGUUUUAUUGACUUUUUAAAGGAAUCACCUUUUAUAUUUAUUCAGUAGCACCUCUGUUUCUUCCCUUAGCUCAUUCAUUAACUUCUAGUUUUAUCAUCAUAAAUUUCUUCCUUCUGCUUUUGUUUGGUUUGUUUUCUGCUUCUUUUUAGAAAUGUUUGAGUUGGGCAUUGACUUUAUAUAGUUGUUAAAAUUUACAUACACACACACACACACAGAGUUGAUCCUCAGUAUCCUUGGAUUUUGCACCUGUGAAUUCAGCCCAUUGUAGAUUGAAAAUAUUUGAAAAAAUUGUAUCUGUACUGAAUAUGUACAGACUUUUUCCUUUGUAACCACUCCCACAACAACAUUUGCAUUGUGUCAGGUGUUAUAAGCAAUCUAGAGAUGAUUUAAAGUGUACAGGGAGAUGUGUGUAGCUUAAAUACAAAUACUGUGCUAUUUUACAUAAGGAACUUCAGCAGUCUCUGACUUUUGGUAUCACAGAGAGUUCCGAAUGCAAUCUCCCCUUGGAUAUUCAGGGAUGACUAAACAUACAUACAUACAACAUAUAUUCGUAUAUGUAUCUUUUUUGAUAACUGGUUUAACUAUAUACCAUAGAUUCAGGCUACUCAUGUUUUUGUUAUUGUUAUUCUCAAGAAAAUUUAUAAUAUUGGUUUGUGAUUUUUAUUUGAUCUCAGACUAGUAGCAAACCCUCUGUCAGAUUUUAUCGUUAACUUUUAGUUUUACUGAUUAUAGUCAGAAGAUGUGUUUUUGUAUUUUUCUACUCUGUGGGAUAUAUUGAGGUUUUUAUUUAUAGCAUUCUCUGUGCACUUGAAAAGAAUAUAUAUUCUAUAAUGUAGGAGUUCAGAGUUUUAUAUUAAUGUAAAAUUGGUUUUAUUGGUUAUGUUGUUUAGAGCAUCUAUAUUUGCAUUAUUUGUUCUACUUGGUCUAUCUUUGAUUGAAGAGGUAUAGUAGACUCUCUCAUAGUGUAUUUCUGUUUACCUCUUGUUGCAUCUCAAGUUUGGGGUAUAUAUCUUCAUCACAAAUUGUGAAUUUUAAUAAAGUGUGCUACUUUGCCCUUUUGUGUUUUGUCUAAAUUCUACCUUAUCAGAGAUCAGGGUUGCUAUUUCCAUUUUAUAUCUGACUUGGGCUGAUAUAACUUUGUCCAUAUUUUUACUUUUCCUGAAUUGUUGUGGGUGUUUCUGUUACAUACAUGGUCUUGGAUGUUGCUCUAUCAACCAUGCUCUAAAUCGCCUCCUUUUUAUAGACGAGUUAAGUCCAUUUAUGUAUAUUAAUA
ensembl:lncRNA